rnacentral:rRNA from 1 species
AUUGAACGCUGGCGGCAGGCCUAACACAUGCAAGUCGAACGAGUGGCGGACGGGUGAGUAAUGUCUGGGAAACUGCCUGAUGGAGGGGGAUAACUAAUGGAAACGGUAGCUAUACCGCACAACAUCAGAUGUGCCCAGUGGGGAUUAGUUAGUGGGGGGGGUAACGGCGCACCUAGGCGACGAACCCGAGCUGGUCUGAGAGGAUGACCAGCCACACUGGAACUGAGACACGGUCCAGACUCCUACGGGAGGCAGCAGUGGGGAAUAUUGCACAAUGGGCGAAAGCCUGAUGCAGACAUGCCGCGUGUAUGAAGAAGGCCUUCGGGUUGUAAAGUACUUUCAGCGGGGAGGCGUUACCCGCAGAAGAAGCACCGGCUAACUCCGUGCCAGCCGCCGCGGUAAUAC